rnacentral:rRNA from 1 species
AUUGAACGCUGGCGGCAGGCCUAACACAUGCAAGUCGAGCGGAUGAAGGGAGCUUGCUCCUGGAUUCAGCGGCGGACGGGUGAGUAAUGCCUAGGAAUCUGCCUUGUCGUGGGGGAUAACGUCCGGAAACGGGCGCUAAUACCGCAUCCGUCCUGAGGGAGAAAGUGGGGGAUCUUCGGACCUCACGCUAUCAGAUGACCCUAGGUCGGAUUAGCUAGUUGGUGGGGUAAAGGCCUACCAAGGCGACGAUCCGUAACUGGUCUGAGAGGAUGAUCAGCCACACUGGAACUGAGACACGGUCCAGACUCCUACGGGAGGCAGCAGUGGGGAAUAUUGGACAAUGGGCGAAAGCCUGAUCCAGCCAUGCCGCGUGUGUGAAGAAGGUCUUCGGAUUGUAAAGCACUUUAAGUUGGGAGGAAGGGCAGUAAGUUAAUACCUUGCUGUUUUGACGUUACCAACAGAAUAAGCACCGGCUAACUUCGUG